rnacentral:rRNA from 1 species
AAGCGCUUAUGACCAGACUUGGGCUUGGUUGAUCAUCCGGCGUUCUCGCCGGUGCACUCUUCCGGUCCAGGCCAGCAUCAGUUUGCUCCGGGGGAUAAAGGCUUUGGGAAUGUGGCUCCCUCGGGAGUGUUAUAGCCCAUUGUGUAAUACCCUGGAGCGGACUGAGGUACGCGUUCUGCAAGGAUGCUGGCGUAAUGGUCAUCAGUGA